GAUGAACGCUGGCGGCGGGCCUAAUACAUGCAAGUCGAGCGGACGGACGAAGAUUGUUCUUUUCUUAUGUGAGCGGCGGGCGGGUGAGUAACACGUGGCUAACCUACCUAUGAGGCUGGGAUCACUUCGGGAGAGCUGAUCCCAUACCGGAUAAUAUGUUGAACCUCAUGGUUCAAAAGAGAAAGACGGUCUUGCUGACCCUUAUAGAGAGAACCGCGCUGCAUUAGCUAGUCGGUAAGGUAACGGCUUACCAAGGCAAGGAUGCAUAGCCGACCUGAGAGGGUGAUCGGCCACACUGGAACUGAGACACGGUCCAGACUCCUACGGGAGGCAGCAGUGGGGAAUAUUACGCAAUGGGCGAAAGCCUGAUGGAGCCAAGCCGCGUGAGUGACGAAGGUCUUCGGAUCGUAAAACUCUGUUAUUUGGGAAGAAGAUAAGUGUAAGAAACUGUGCACAUUUUGACGGUACCUAAAGAGUAAGCAACGGCUAACUACGUG
rnacentral:rRNA from 1 species